UCUGAGUAACACGUGGGCAAUCUGCCCUGCACUCUGGGACAAGCCCUGGAAACGGGGUCUAAUACCGGAUAUGACCAUCUUGGGCAUCCUUGGUGGUGUAAAGCUCCGGCGGUACAGGAUGAGCCCGCGGCCUAUCAGCUUGUUGGUGGGGUAAUGGCCUACCAAGGCGACGACGGGUAGCCGGCCUGAGAGGGCGACCGGCCACACUGGGACUGAGACACGGCCCAGACUCAUACGGGAGGCAGCAGUGGGGAAUAUUGCACAAUGGGCGAAAGCCUGAUGCAGCGACGCCGCGUGAGGGAUGACGGCCUUCGGGUUGUAAACCUCUUUCAGCAGGGAAGAAGCGCAAGUGACGGUACCUGCAGAAGAAGCACCGGCUAACUACGUGCCAGCAGCCGCGGUAAUACGUAGGGUGCGAGCGUUGUCCGGAAUUAUUGGGCGUAAAGAGCUCGUAGGCGGCCUGUCGCGUCGGAUGUGAAAGCCCGGGGCUUAACCCCGGGUCUGCAUUCGAUACGGGCAGGCUAGAGUGUGGUAGGGGAGAUCGGAAUUCCUGGUGUAGCGGUGAAAUGCGCAGAUAUCAGGAGGAACACCGGUGGCGAAGGCGGAUCUCUGGGCCAUUACUGACGCUGAGGAGCGAAAGCGUGGGGAGCGAACAGGAUUAGAUACCCUGGUAGUCCACGCCGUAAACGUUGGGAACUAGGUGUUGGCGACAUUCCACGUCGUCGGUGCCGCAGCUAACGCAUUAAGUUCCCCGCCUGGGGAGUACGGCCGCAAGGCUAAAAACUCAGAGGAAUUGACGGGGGGCCCGCACAAGCAGCGGAGCAUGUGGCUUAAUUCGACGCAACGCGAAGAACCUUUACCAAGGCUUGACAUAUACCGG
rnacentral:rRNA from 1 species